UACGGGGGGGGCAAGCGUUGUUCGGAAUUACUGGGCGUAAAGGGCUCGUAGGCGGCCAACUAAGUCGGAUGUGAAAUCCCCAGGCUUAACCUGGGAAUUGCAUCCGAUACUGGAUGGCUUGAAUCCGGGAGAGGGAUGCGGAAUUCCAGGUGUAGCGGUGAAAUGCGUAGAUAUCGGGAGGAACACCUGUGGCGAAAGCGGCGCACUGGACCACAACUGACGCUGAGGCGCGAAAGCUAGGGGAGCAAACGGG
rnacentral:rRNA from 1 species